rnacentral:rRNA from 1 species
GUGGGGAAUAUUGGACAAUGGGCGAAAGCCUGAUCCAGCCAUGCCGCGUGUGUGAAGAAGGUCUUCGGAUUGUAAAGCACUUUAAGUUGGGAGGAAGGGCAGUAAGUUAAUACCUUGCUGUUUUGACGUUACCGACAGAAUAAGCACCGGCUAACUCCGUGCCAGCAGCCGCGGUAAUACGAAGGGUGCAAGCGUUAAUCGGAAUUACUGGGCGUAAAGCGCGCGUAGGUGGUUUUGUAAGUUGGAGGUGAAAUCCCCGGGCUCAACCUGGGAACUGCCUCCAAAACUGCAUGACUAGAGUACGGUAGAGGGUAGUGGAAUUUCCUGUGUAGCGGUGAAAUGCGUAGAUAUAGGAAGGAACACCAGUGGCGAAGGCGACUACCUGGACUGAUACUGACACUGAGGUGCGAAAGCGUGGGGAGCAAACAGGAUUAGAAACCCUGGUAGUCC